UGGGGAAUUUUGGACAAUGGGCGCAAGCCUGAUCCAGCCAUGCCGCGUGCGGGAAGAAGGCCUUCGGGUUGUAAACCGCUUUGUCAGGGAAGAAAUCUUCUGAGUUAAUACCUCGGGAGGAUGACGGUACCUGAAGAAUAAGCACCGGCUAACUACGUGCCAGCAGCCGCGGUAAUACGUAGGGUGCAAGCGUUAAUCGGAAUUACUGGGCGUAAAGCGUGCGCAGGCGGUUUUGUAAGACAGAGGUGAAAUCCCCGGGCUCAACCUGGGAACUGCCUUUGUGACUGCAAGGCUUGAGUGCGGCAGAGGGGGAUGGAAUUCCGCGUGUAGCAGUGAAAUGCGUAGAUAUGCGGAGGAACACCGAUGGCGAAGGCAAUCCCCUGGGCCUGCACUGACGCUCAUGCACGAAAGCGUGGGGAGCAAAACAGGAUUAGAUAGCCCUGGUAGUCCACGCCCUAAACGAUGUCAACUGGUUGUUGGGAAGGUUCCUUCUCAGUAACGUAGCUAACGCGUGAAGUUGACCGCCUGGGGAGUACGGCCGCAAGGUUGAAACUCAAAUGAAUUGAC
rnacentral:rRNA from 1 species